GCUUGCUAGGAGGCGUCGAGCGGCGGACGGGUGAGUAAUGCAUAGGAAUCUGCCCGGUAGUGGGGGAUAACUUGAGGAAACUCAAGCUAAUACCGCAUACGCCCUACGGGGGAAAGCAGGGGCUCUUCGGACCUUGCGCUAUCGGAUGAGCUUAUGUCGGAUUAGCUGGUUGGUGAGGUAACGGCUCACCAAGGCGACGAUCCGUAGCUGGUCUGAGAGGAUGAUCAGCCACAUCGGGACUGAGACACGGCCCGAACUCCUACGGGAGGCAGCAGUGGGGAAUAUUGGACAAUGGGGGCAACCCUGAUCCAGCCAUGCCGCGUGUGUGAAGAAGGCCCUCGGGUUGUAAAGCACUUUCAGCGAGGAAGAAUGCUUGUCGGUUAAUACCCGGCAAGGGAGACAUCACUCGCAGAAGAAGCACCGGCUAACUCCGUGCCAGCAGCCGCGGUAAUACGGAGGGUGCGAGCGUUAAUCGGAAUUACUGGGCGUAAAGCGUGCGUAGGCGGCUUGAUAAGCCGGUUGUGAAAGCCCCGGGCUCAACCUGGGAACGGCAUCCGGAACUGUUAGGCUAGAGUGCAGGAGAGGAAGGUAGAAUUCCCGGUGUAGCGGUGAAAUGCGUAGAGAUCGGGAGGAAUACCAGUGGCGAAGGCGGCCUUCUGGACUGACACUGACGCUGAGGUACGAAAGCGUGGGUAGCAAACAGGAUUAGAUACCCUGGUAGUCCACGCCGUAAACGAUGUCGACUAGCCGUUGGGGUCCUCGAGACCUUUGUGGCGCAGUUAACGCACUAAGUCGACCGCCUGGGGAGUACGGCCGCAAGGUUAAAACUCAAAUGAAUUGACGGGGGCCCGCACAAGCGGUGGAGCAUGUGGUUUAAUUCGAUGCAACGCGAAGAACCUUACCUACCCUUGACAUCGUGCGAACUUUC
rnacentral:rRNA from 1 species